AUGAGAGGAAGAAAGGUUUGUGGGGGAAGUGCUGUGCCUUCACAGAAUGCCAGCAUGGCUGAGGCCGGCAGGGACCUUUGGGUCCUUCUGGUCCAACCCUACUCCAGCAGAGCCACCCAGAGCAGGGUGCCCAGGACCACCUCCCGGUGGCUUUUGAAGAUCCCCAAGGAGGAGACUCCAGCACCUCUCUGGGCAGCCUGUGCCAGUGCUCGGUCACUGCACAGCACACAAAUGCUGUCUGGUGCUCGCAGGGAGCCUCCUGUGCCCCUGUUCGUGCCCACUGCCUCUGGUCCUGGCACUGGGCACCACCAAAAGGAGCCUGGCUCCGUCCUUUUUGCACCUUCCCAUCAGGUGUUUAUGGACAUUGAUGAGGUCCCCCUGAGCCUGCUCUUCUGCAGGCUGAGCAGCCCCAGCUCUCUCAGCCUCUUCUCACAUCAGAGGGCUCCAGGCCCUCCAGCACCUCCGUGUCCCUUUUUUGGACUCUCUCCAGUAGCUCCAGGUCUCUGUUCUACUGGGGAGCCCAGCACUGGACACUGCUCACAGUUCCCGGCUGUCAGAGGCUAUCCAGGCUGGCUGAACAUGGCCAACCAUCGUGGAGACUUUGGAGGGGACUGCAGCUUCAGCCCUCACCCACCCCACCCCUCAUCAGACCUGUCCACGAUACCAACAGCCUCCCCCAUAACGAUGUUCCAAGGGAGGCUCCUGCCCCCUAACACGGCCCAUCCGCCUGCUUCAGCAUCACCGCGGAGCAGCAAGAUCUCUGGGAGCAGGAUGAGCCAGGGCCUGGAUGCCGGCCGACGAGGGGAGAGGAUGAAGGGAGAUCUGAAGUCGGCGUGCGAAAAAGGAGAAGGGCGAGGAUGCGGCCGGGUGCUGAUGACGGGGGUGGCUGCAGACAGUAUCGCAGCAACGUGCUGGCAUAGAGCAAGGGCUAGGCUGAAGUCAAACAUAGGGAACAUUUCUACCAGACGGGACAAUUACACACUGGGGUUGCUUGCCAGUGAGGCCCCAUCACGAGUGGAACAGAUCCCAUAA
rnacentral:lncRNA from 1 species